rnacentral:rRNA from 1 species
UGGUGGAGCGAUUUGUCUGGCAAUUCCGAUAACGAACGAGACUCUAGCCUACUAAAUAGUUCGGGGACCCCCACAAAGGGGCCCCGCUUCAACUCUUAGAGGGACAGGUGGCGUUUAGCCACACGAGAUUGAGCAAUAACA